rnacentral:misc_RNA from 1 species
AUCGUUUUCAUCUCUAUCAAGAUUCUACAGUCUGGAGCGCCUUAUACACUUGAUAGGAUUCAGAGGUUUCUGGCGACGGAAAGCAGUAAAAGUAUGGCUGCUAUCUGAUACCGGCUUUAUAUCCCAGCCUUCUACGUUCUUCGGAACGCACACAUCGAAUAGGAUCUGCCCCAGUACGCCAUGGGGGUUGAUGGUCGGUGGGCUUUGCACGUGGAUCAA